rfam:Dipodomys ordii contig_52528, whole genome shotgun sequence.
GGUGGCUUGGUGGUAGAGUGCUUGCCUUGCAUGCAUGAGGCCCUGGGUUCGAUUCCUCAGCACCA